GAUGAACGCUGGCGGCGUGCCUAAUACAUGCAAGUCGAACGCGCAGCGAAAGGUGCUUGCACCUUUCAAGCGAGUGGCGAACGGGUGAGUAACACGUGGAUAACCUGCCUCAAGGCUGGGGAUAACAUUUGGAAACAGAUGCUAAUACCGAAUAAAACUUAGUAUCGCAUGAUACAAAGUUGAAAGGCGCUACGGCGUCACCUAGAGAUGGGUCCGCGGUGCAUUAGUUAGUUGGUGGGGUAAAGGCCUACAAGACAAUGAUGCAUAGCCGAGUUGAGAGACUGAUCGGCCACAUUGGGACUGAGACACGGGCCCAAAACUCCUAACGGGGAGGCUGCAGUAGGGAAUCUUCCACAAAUGGGGCGAAAGCCUGAUGGAGCAACGCGCGUGUGUGAUGAAGGCUUUAGGGCGUAAAGCACUGUUG
rnacentral:rRNA from 1 species